rnacentral:tRNA from 1 species
AAUCAUUUAGCUUAAAUAAGCAUAUGUUUUGAAAGCAUAAGAAAGAAGAUCAACCUUCUAAUGGUUU